rnacentral:rRNA from 1 species
AGCGAACGCUGGCGGCAUGCCUAACACAUGCAAGUCGCACGGGGGGGCUUCGGCCUCCCAGUGGCGGACGGGUGAGGAACGCGUAGGGACCUGUCGAGGGGUGGGGGAUAACCGCGGGAAACUGCGGCUAAUACCGCAUGACGCCGCGGCGUGACAGCCGGGGCCAAAGGCGAAAGCCGCCCGCCGAGGGGCCUGCGUCUGAUUAGCUGGUUGGCGGGGUAGCGGCCCACCAAGGCGUCGAUCGGUAGCUGGUCUGAGAGGGUGAUCAGCCACACCGGGACUGAGACACGGCCCGGACUCCUACGGGAAGCAGCAGUGGGGAAUAUUGGACAAUGGGCGCAAGCCUGAUCCAGCAAUGCCGCGUGGGUGAAGAAGGUCUUCGGAUUGUAAAGCCCUUUCGGCGGGGACGAUGGUGACGGUACCCGCAGAAGAAGCCCCGGCUAACUUCGUG